GUAUUUGCUUUGGCAACACAUAUAUUAAAAUUGGGACAAUACGGAGAUUUGCAUGGCCGCUGUGCAAGUAUGACAUGCAAAUUUGUGAAGUGUUCCAUAUUUAA
ensembl:snRNA U6 U6 spliceosomal RNA